GCAGAACAAGUGGGAAUGUUUCAGGAUUUGCUUCCAAGAUAGUGUGUAUGUAAAGUGAGGAGAACACUGCAAUUCUAUGCGCCCAUCUGCUCCAGAGCAGCAGCACGAAGCUGCUUAUUUCCAGCAUGCUCCUGUACAGGGCCUGAACCUAGGCAAAAGGCAUUGCAAAUAGCAUUCAGGGUUGGCACUCUGAGAAGACAGCUGUGCAGGACCAAGGCACUGGCAGUCACAGAUUGCUAAGUAACAGACAUAGUCAAGGGACCAUGCUAGCAAGAUACCAGCAAGAUAGUAGAGUGUGUAUCAACAAAUGGACAAGAGAAUGGAAGGAUGAGCAUUCAUACAGGCAAAAUAGCAAUAGCAGGAUCACUAGGGAUGUCAAAGGAAAUUCCAAAAUGCCAUGCAGAAAGCAGAAAACAGAGCAGGCAAAGGGCAGAAUUGUUAGAAAGGUAAGAAAAAAAAAAUACUUCUGGCAACAUGUAAACAUUUCUGAUAACAUUAGCAUUUAGAAGAAGACUAUGCAGUAAGUUUAUGCAACGGAUUUCAUGGGUGAAAAGUGGCAAUGUGAAACAAAGUGCUAUAGGACCCAGCAGAAUGCAAAAAAAAGGUGCCUCUUGGCGUUAUACUUAAUGAUGCUUAUUUGUCUUGAAACUUGACAUUUAUGCAUGAAUUCACACCUAUAAGCUGAAGUGAAUAAAUAUUUCAAGUGUUUAAGAAGUUACUCAUUUAAAUUGAAAAUAGCUUGAGCCACAUUAUUUGUAAAUCAUACAAAAAAGCUAUAAUACAAUUAUAUUGCAUGGUAAAAAUACAGAGAAAGCAAACACAAUAAAAAACACCAACACCAUUUUGGUCAGACAGUCUGAGAUGUUUCUAAAAAGCAGGCUGGUCCUAAACUGACAAAUAGUAAAAAGUAACCUACUUAUCACGUGAUGGCAAUAAACUAACUUUUCAGAAAGAAACAAGUGUUUCUUAGUAUCUGUUCUCCACCAAACAGAAACCAAAGGCACUCAAUGUCAUUUCAGCUGGUCCAGAGCCUGUUAUUUAUAAAUGGUAACUUACGAUAGACUUUUCAUCUCCUAACUGUUAUAACAAUACUCUGAAGAAUACAAUCCUGUGAACAGUACUCUGACCUGUCUGCAGGUUCUUGACAGCUUAGAUCAGAUGAGAUGUAAGAAGAAAAUUUGGUGUCAAAAUCAGCGUGAUGUUAAAAUAAAUAUAGGAAAAUAUUUCUGGCACUGCCAUAACAUUUGAACCAAGAAACUGACAGCCCUUGUACCGUGUCUUUAUUCUUCUUUAAAUUACAUGAUUACAAAGCUUUAACAGCAUUUUGCCCUCUUACUUCUGCUUCAGUCAUGAUACAACGCUGAUUACAAUAUACUAGUAUAAUU